AUACAUCUUGUUACGUAAUAAUAAUAAUGAACUUAAAUGCAUUGUUACAAAAUAAAGCAGCUAUGACGUAAUAAACUCAUUGGAACGAAUAUGGUUGGUGCAUUGAUGACGUCAUAGAACUACUAGGGAAGCAAGGGGCCAAUGACGUCACAGCAGCCAUUGAUGACGUAGUUUCAUUGGAAAAUUUAGGUUCUUUGGUGGCGACGAGUUUCUUUGUCUUCACUUUGUUGUGAAUUCUAGAAUGUCGUUUGCACUCGUCGCUUCGCGCGAAUCGCUUGCUGCAGAUCUUGCAGUUGUAGGGUUUUUCCCCCGUGUGUGUGCGCGUGUGUGUGCGGAGGUGGUCGCUGCGGGAGAAUCUGCGCUGACACUCCAAGCACGUGAAUGGCUUUACUCCUGGGGAGGUGGGUGGUUAUAAUGGGGUGGGGAGGUCAACCCGUAUCCGUAGCAGGUCUCCAAGGUGAACAGCCUCUGGCCGAUAGAACAAUGUAGGUAAGGGAAGUCAGCAAACUAAAUCCGUUACUUCGGGAAAAGGAUUGGCUCUAGGGGCUGGGUCGGUCGGGCUGAUGUACGAAGCGGGGCGCGGAGCUGUACCGGACUGGGCUAACGACUGCCUCCCUCGCGGGGGGCUGGCGUGACCCUGGACCUGUG
rnacentral:ncRNA from 1 species